UACGGAAGGGGGCUAGCGUUGCUCGGAAUCACUGGGCGUAAAGCGCACGUAGGCGGCUUACUAAGUCAGGGGUGAAAUCCUGGAGCUCAACUCCAGAACUGCCUUUGAUACUGGUGAGCUUGAGUCCGGAAGAGGUGAGUGGAACUGCGAGUGUAGAGGUGAAAUUCGUAGAUAUUCGCAAGAACACCAGUGGCGAAGGCGGCUCACUGGUCCGGUACUGACGCUGAGGUGCGAAAGCUAGGGGAGCAAACAGG
rnacentral:rRNA from 1 species